rnacentral:lncRNA from 1 species
ACAAAUACUAAAUGUGUUCAUCACACAAACCCUAGUAGCAAAUCCUGAGAACCCUAUAGUUUUCUAUCUCCUCUUUCUUUACUUUAGAACCCUAACUGCUGACUCCAAAUCUUCAUUUUACUUCAAGAAUUUCAGUAAAGGAUACAGGGGUAUAUAUGCAGUAAACAUAGUUUUUUCUUUCUUUUUCUAUCUAAAACCACUUUCUCCCUCUUAAGUUCCAUCUUCCCGAGCUUUGUUGGAUCAUUAAUUACUUAUAUAACAAUAACAACAAUCUUCUCCAAGAACGAAAAAAUCAAUGUCACUCUCAUUCAUAUACAUGUAAGUACUUGUUUUCUGUAUCUACGUAUACCCUUUUUAGUGCUUAAUUUUUUCUCUCUUUUUUGUUUCAUUGAUUUAUAUAAAGUGUAGAUCCGUACCUUUUUCUUUUCUUUUAUUUUCUUUUUAUUACUUUACCUUUGGCAAGCUCCUAUUAUGGACUCUAUUGUUGUUUCUUGGUUUAAUCGACUCAUUUAUUGACAUUUCAACUUUUAUUGGUACAGGAAUUUCUUGAUUCCAAGAAGCAGCUGAGAUUUUAUUGAGGUUUAAGAAGGAUCUAUUUGAAAUAUUACUGUUGUCAAAUUAGAUUCUUAGUUUAAGCCAUUGCUAUAAACAAAGCCAUCAAAGAUAAUUGAGUUAGUUGUUAGUUUGAUUUCUUUUCUUUUUUUUGUUGUUGAGAGAAAUAGAGUUCAAAAAAGUGAAAAGAGAGGAGGGAGUUUAUAAACAACAGCUUUGAGAUUCAUAGGUUUGGUUAAACUUAUGUGAUAUAAGAAGAGAGAAGAGGAAAAUGUUAAUUCUAGGUUUGGUAGUUUAAGUGGAGGGAUGAGAUAUUUUGUUGGGCAUGUUCUACCUAAAGGGAUGGGAACUUUAACUUUAGUUUCUCCGAUUGUCAAACUUAUCGAACGUAGGUUUCUUUUAAGAUUUUUUUAAGGCAAGAUGUUUUGAGAUGACAUAUAACAUAUUUUUUAUUUUUUUCGGUUUAAGUGUGAAGGCUGCAGUAUUAGUCUUUUCAUAUGAUGUAAU